rnacentral:misc_RNA from 1 species
AACUCUAUCCCCACCGUUUGGUGGGAGACUUGUCGGUUGUGCCUCUCGGUACUCUGAUUAAAUGCAGUAGGUCUGGAUCAGGCUGGUGGCCUGGGACACUAUGUGCUAGAGACGUCGCGAAAGUUGACUGUCUUCUCAUGGUGCGUCCUGGGCUGUUUAAGCUGGUUUGGUCGAGCCUCUACAGUCCGUGCCUUGUGUACGGACAACCCCCCU